rnacentral:rRNA from 1 species
GAUGAACGCUGGCGGCGUGCCUAAUACAUGCAAGUCGAGCGAACAGACGAGGAGCUUGCUCCUCUGACGUUAGCGGCGGACGGGUGAGUAACACGUGGAUAACCUACCUAUAAGACUGGGAUAACUUCGGGAAACCCGAGCUAAUACCGGAUAAUAUAUUGAACCGCAUGGUUCAAUAGUGAAAGACGGUUUUGCUGUCACUUAUAGAUGGAUCCGCGCCGCAUUAGCUGGUUGGUAAGGUAACGGCUUACCAAGGCGACGAUGCGUAGCCGACCUGAGAGGGUGAUCGGCCACACUGGAACUGAGACACGGUCCAGACUCCUACGGGAGGCAGCAGUAGGGAAUCUUCCGCAAUGGGCGAAAGCCUGACGGAGCAACGCCGCGUGAGUGAUGAAGGUCUUCGGAUCGUAAAACUCUGUUAUUAGGGAAGAACAAAUGUGUAAGUAACUAUGCACGUCUUGACGGUACCUAAUCAGAAAGCCACGGCUAACUACGUG